GAUGAAGAACGUAGCGAAAUGCGAUAAGUAAUGUGAAUUGCAGAAUUCAGUGAAUCAUCGAAUCUUUGAACGCACAUUGCGCCCCUUGGUAUUCCGAGGGGCAUGCCUGUUCGAGCGUCAUUAUAACCCCUCAAGCUCAGCUUGGUGUUGGGGCCUGCCGCACGGGCAGCCCUUAAAAUCAGUGGCGGUGCCAUCUGGCUCUAAGCGUAGUAAUUCUUCUCGCUAUAGAGUCCCGGUGGAUGCUUGCCAUUAACCCCCAAUUUUCUAUGGUUGACCUCGGAUCAGGUAGGGAUACCCGCUGAACUUAAGCAUAUCAUAACGGAGGA
rnacentral:misc_RNA from 1 species